rnacentral:lncRNA from 1 species
CGAAAAGAAAUAUCGUUGUCACUUCAAUCUACUUUGCAUGCACCGUGUAAAAAUGGAAUCAUUUCCAUCCGAAUGUUCAACCAAUAAGAAACAUCUCAACACUUUUAAUUAUUUGUGAAUCUUGUCUGCAACAUAAAAGGAUGAAGGUCUUGUCUCUUGUUUUGUCGAUUUUCCUCCUCAUUUCGGCCAUGGCGAUGACGACCGUGUCCGCUCGUCACUGGAAGGUGGGCGACAACGGAAUAAGUCGCAGGGACAACAAUUGCCGUUAUGUUGGCGAUUACAUCGGACUCCACAAACCCAGUAUCAGCGAGCAAUGUGGAGGAUUCUGCCUCAACAACUCUGAAUGCACUCACUUCACUUAUGGAGAAGAUGGCUGAUGUUUCAUGUAUAACGCUCCCAACGGAAAGGAUACUGGCCAUGACUGGGCACCAAAAUGGACUUGUGGUUACAUUCACCAUCGUAUCGAUUGGUGACGAUAAGCAGCUCAACUAUACAACGCAUGUGUGGAACCGCUGUUUUGAAAACGACGAAAAUCAUGCUCGGACAAAACUGGACACGACGAUGUAUUCUGUAAUUGAUUCCCUCAACAACAAAUUAAAAAGGAAUUGGAAUAAUAUAGUUGACAUGUUUGACAUCAUCAAAACUAUUCAUUGCUGGCCAAUACAUUUUGAUUAGAGUUCAGAAA